CGCCCUAGUUCUGACCGUAAACUAUGCCAUCUAGCGAUCCGAUGGGGUAUUGUUGCCUUGUCGAGGAGCUUCCCGGAAACGAAAGUCUUUCGGUUCCUGGGGUAGUAUGGUUGCAAAGCUGAAACUUAAAGAAAUUGACGGAAUGGCACCACCAGGAGUGGAGCCUGCGGCUUAAUUUGACUCAACACGGGAAAACUCACCCGGCCCGGACACCGUAAGGAUUGACAGAUUGAAAGCUCUUUCUCGAUUUGGUGGUUGGUGGUGCAUGGCCGUUCUUAGUUGGUGGAGCGAUUUGUCUGGUUUAUUCCGAUAACGAGCGAGACUCUAGCCUGCUAAAUAGUGGCUGGAUUUUUACGUCCAGUCUACUUCUUAGAGGGAUAAGCGGUGUUUAGCCGCACGAGAUUGAGCGAUAACAGGUCUGUGAUGCCCUUAGAUGUCCGGGGCUGCACGCGCGCUACAAUGGAAGAAUCAGCUGGCCUAUCCAUUGCCGAAAGGCAUUGGUAAACCGUUGAAACUCUUCCGUGACCGGGAUAGGGAAUUGUAAUUAUUUCCCUUGAACGAGGAAUUCCUAGUAAGUGUGAGUCAUCAGCUCACGCUGAUUACGUCCCUGCCAUUUGUACACACCGCCCGUCGCUGUCCGGGACUGANCUGUCUCGAGAGGACUGCGGACUGCUGUCGCGAGGCCUUCGGGUCGCGUUAUGGCGGGAAACAGUUCAAUCGCAAUGGCUUGAACCGGGUAAAAGUCGUAACAAGGUAUCUGUAGGUGAACCUGCAGAUGGAUCAUC
rnacentral:rRNA from 1 species